rnacentral:rRNA from 1 species
AGAGUUUGAUCCUGGCUCAGAACGAACGCUGGCGGCAUGCCUAACACAUGCAAGUCGAACGAGACCUUCGGGUCUAGUGGCGCACGGGUGCGUAACGCGUGGGAAUCUGCCCUUGGGUUCGGAAUAACAGUUAGAAAUGACUGCUAAUACCGGAUAAUGUCUUCGGACCAAAGAUUUAUCGCCCAGGGAUGAGCCCGCGUAGGAUUAGCUAGUUGGUGAGGUAAAGGCUCACCAAGGCGACGAUCCUUAGCUGGUCUGAGAGGAUGAUCAGCCACACUGGGACUGAGACACGGCCCAGACUCCUACGGGAGGCAGCAGUGGGGAAUAUUGGACAAUGGGCGAAAGCCUGAUCCAGCAAUGCCGCGUGAGUGAUGAAGGCCUUAGGGUUGUAAAGCUCUUUUACCCGGGAUGAUAAUGACAGUACCGGGAGAAUAAGCCCCGGCUAACUACGUG